AUUCGACCUCAAAUCAGGUAGGACUACCCGCUGAACUUAAGCAUAUCAAAAAAGCGGAGGA
rnacentral:rRNA from 1 species